GGAUGAGCUCAGCUGACAAGCGAGGAGGAACACAGUCGAAGGUCCUUUAAAAAGAAGGCGUUGGAAGGUGAUUGGAUGAUGAAUCAGGCGGACAGGAUGCUGAUUGGAAGGCCGGGAGACGCACGGGGAAGUCAUUGGACGGUGGAGACGGUGAGGCCCAACUUCCGCUGUCUGUGUAGUGGUGUGGAUGCUGCUGUAAGGAUAUUUUUCCUGCAUGAGUGUCUCCAGAUGGCAGUAGACAAGGGGGCAUUGCCACAUGACCGCAUCAUUCUGUCCAGUCCUCGCUGAGACGACGAUGGCAGGAUGGCUUCGGUGUGCGGUGACAGAUUGCUGGAGGAGAAGUGGUCUAAAUAAAGUACAAAUAUGGAUAAUGAACCCAAUCCAUAUUUGUGGCAAGGAAAAGAAAACUGAUAAUUGAGCAGCAUGUAAAAUAAUUUUAUCUAAGAUUUCUAAUUACUGUACUGAGAACCAUGUUUGCAGCAUGAAGUGUAACAAAGAUGCUGAGUGAUGUUAUACUCUGUAUGUACUACACAAUCAAAUGACAUCAAUGUUACUCUGUUAAUUAUGUAUAUAGCUGCUGGGAAAAAUUUGCUCUUCUUCAUCUCCUCAUUUGGUGUUUCUCUUAUUUUUUAGCCUUAGGAUAAUACAUUUGAUGCACUACUGCUCACUUUGUGGUCAU